GCUCACGUAGCUUACCCAAAGCAUAACACUGAAGAUGUUAAGACGGGCCCUAAAAAGCCUCGAGAGCA
rnacentral:tRNA from 1 species